AAUCCAUGUAUUGGGCAUUUGUACAGCAUUUCUUUAAAAUGUUCCCAAGCCUCCUACAAACUUUCAUAUUCUAACUGCUUGAAUGAUGUGAGAUCAUUCCUCAGCUU